UAUGGGGGAGCACGGAGACUAAGAAAUCAGGGCCUGUGGGUUUGGAGGCACUGUGCUGAGGGCUCUGUGGCUCUUCCCACUGUCUGUGUUUCUGACUUGCUAGAAAGGAUGGUCACAAGCAGAGAUACAAUAGAGAUACAAUUCCUAAUGCAGAACUCUACAGAAAGCGCCAUGAUGGUAGCGCCAUGAUAGUAGGCGUCGUUGCUAAUUCACUGGAAGGGACAUCUCCUCCUUUUCAGCCUGGCAGCUGCUUGUAAGUGAGAACAGAUAGUCACCCCUAGAAACCGGGAGAUCCCCACUUUUCUACUGGUACAAAUCUUUUAGAAACCCAGGAACCAGUUUCCCAUGCUGGUUCCCCACCCCAGAAGCAGGUCGGAUUUACCUAGUCGUCUCAGGUUAAAGAGAGAGCUGGCUCGUGUUACAUCAAUUUAGUUCCAAACCCAGAGGAGUCCAGACUCAAUCCCUGGGGAAUAAAGCUGCCUCUCUGGUUCUAUCCAUUUUAGGACAACCAGGUCUUACCUUUGCCCUAGCUUCCCCUCACCAUUUUCUUCCACAGCAGAAAUAAUGUGUUCCGUGGUCCUGGAACAACAGUUUGGUGCAUGAAUGAUUGCCAGAGCACGUUCUAGAGUCUGGGCUCUGAGAAUGUUCUGUGGCUCAGAUGAGAGUCACAGACAUCAGGUAUUCAGUGAAGCCAGGCUAUCAUGUAGUAUAAAAGGAUGCAUCUCACAGCUC
rnacentral:lncRNA from 1 species